GGGUACGUAUACCAUACAGAGAAGACAUAAUUUGUUGACAUUUUAUUCAACAAACAUUUCAUCUCUAAAAAAACAUUAUAUGGCUUAGCUUAUAGGCUCUCAUGGAGGCAAAAAAUUGUGCCUCUAUCUUUUUUUCUUAACAUGACCCUAUGUUUACAUGUCCUUUUCAAAUGAUAAAAAAUUAUUAUUUCAAGCUCUUGAAGGAAUUUCUAGAUGAUCACUUUUCUCUACAACUAAGCAAAAACAUUUCAAUUGGGAGAAUUUCUAUUUGUGCAUUAUAAAAAUGGGACCCUGAUCAGCAAGCCUGCCAGUUACAAUGUAAAUGUAAGAAAUUGCUGAUUGGGCACUGGCCUUUCCCUAGUUGCUUUUGCAAUUCUUCCUUUAAACCUUUAUUAUUAUUAUUAUUUGCUAACAAAAUUUAUAUGGAAUUUCUUGCAUGACAGAUAACCAACAUGGAGGAAGCCCUUAUCCUAGAAGUGUAGGAAAAUCCAAUCCUGUAUGACAAGAGAUUGGAGAUGUUCAAGGAUACAGAAGUAAAAAAUGAUGUAUGACAUGACAUUGGGCGUCAGUUUGUAAUCUCAGGUGACGUAGCGAGUUGAGGGACAACUUCCUAAAAAAACGACAGAAAAUGGAGAGGAAGAGUGGUGACGGAGCUCCCUCAAAUGCAGCACGUAAAUACAAGUACAGUGAGGCAAUGGAAUUCCUACUUCCCCACAUACAUAAUCGAGAAACAAGUUCAAUCUUGGAUCCUGUGUUUGAUGUGGACACACCAGGAGAAGCCUGUACCAAACAGGAAGAAACUGAGCAGGAGAAUGGUGACAUCUGUCCACAAUGUGGGUCAGGCUUCAUCGUCAUCGUCCUCAGGCACGUCCGCAACAGUCCAGUCUUCAAGUCCCAAAUUCACUUUAAAUCGAGGAGACAAUGUUGCAGUAUUUUCAAAGCAGCGAUAGUCAUGGUGACAACAUAACUGUAGAUCCAUUUUUCUCCAGCUUGUCCCCCAUUGUCCCACACUAUAAAAGUUACCUCAAUGCCAGCUCCAUUGCAAUGAGGUUAAAUUUUGGUCUUCUGAAUAUUGAACAUACUACUAUAGGAAUUAAAGGUUCUGUGUCAUCUAAAUCCAAGUCGAUUCUUAUUGAUGUGAUAAACGUCUCACAUGUUACAAUUUAAGAAUCCAAAUAUGUUUCGUAGAUUAAAAAAAAAGUUAACAGAAAAUGUUCUAACUUGCUAUGCUCCACCGCUAAAAAGAGAGCUGAUAUCUUAUUCCCUCUGACAUCACUCAAUAUUCAUCCGAUUGUUAGCUAACAAAGGGACAGUGGUUUGUAGUUUGCCAGAGCUAACAACCUGUUAACAGUCUCAACAUAAAAGAUGCAAUGUCAGACAUGCAGCAUCACCAACAAAUGGAAAGCAGUGUAUAUAUGAUUACAUCUGAAUGACUUCUGAUAAAUCCAUAUGAAAUAAAUCAUUUGCAGGAAAUCUACAACUUUAAUGACUGAUAUUGUAUUAUAAACAACUACACCAUAAAAUGUGCUAUUCUUAUUUCCACUUGAAUUUUUCACUUUAACGUCUCCCAUUGUUACUUUUGCAAGUUGGUCUCAAUUUGCAGAAAUUAUGAUUGUAAAGGAUUAUGAUCUUCCUCUUUCGUAGAUCUGGGAAAUAUUGGCAGAACAUGUUCACCAUUUAUUAAAAAUAUAUUUAUUUCUUAAAUUAUACUUGAAUUCAAAAUCAGGAUUUGUUCACAGAUGAACAUUUUGCACAUCACAGAAAUUUGGUUCAUGCAAAUAUAAACAUGAUUACUAGUAAUGCACUAUCAAAUAUCAACACAUGAAACCAGUUACUGUAAAAAUAAAAAUGAUGGGUACUGGACGGAACGUGGUACAGGUAAUUUCUGGACUAAUGUUUUAUUUUGGAAAUAGAUCUAGGAUUGUUUGAAAUAUGACAAAAUGUUACCAACUAAAUUUUAUCUCUAAACAGAAUGGCAAUGACACUCCUGAGGCCUGUUUCAUAGAGAGGUAUAACUAUCACAACUCUAAUUGUCUUUAAUAUGGCAACUACCAUGGUAAUAUGGCGCAACAUCCAAUUAUAAUUGUGGUUUCCAUGGUAGUUGCCAUAAUGUUAAAGUACUUUUGAAAUGGGCCCCUGGACAUGAAGAAUACUGACAAAAGAAAGUUGAUGGUG